GGAUAACAAAAAGUACUGCAAUAUUCCUAUGUAUGAGACUACCCCACCUAAUGAAAAGAAUUAUUUUCUCCACAUGAAUAUGUACAGAACUAGUUGCUAUCUUCCAUGUCCCUCCAUAUCAACACUUGGGACUCUACUGAGUCAGUCUAUAUGUGUUCCUGUGACUUGUUCAUCAGCAGCUCGUAAUGGUUCUGCAAAUCACAGACUUGCCAUCUGACAAGAGUUCCAUCUUCAGAGCCUACAAUGAGUUCGGUAACUUUCUCAAAACAAUUUCCCCACAUGGCCAAGUUCAGUUCUCUCUCUGUCCUGGGCUUCUUUCAUGGACUAGUUGUCUUGUCAAGGCCAGACUUACUACUUACGCCAUGCUGCAAAGUCUCAAGGGUCAAGUCUUGGUGGUAUAUAUCAUCAACAUAGAAGCAAUCAUAAAGGGUUGCCAUUUUCCAGCCGAAUGGCUGUAUAUUCAAAAGAUCAUUUGCUGAGAUGAAGCUUUUUCCUUCUCAUACCAACCAAAGCAAGCAUAUACUAACAUCAUUUAUUUCAAACAUUUACCAUUAUAAUGUGUCAGCAAAAGAACUUCAGGCACAACUGAGCUCCCAUGCUCAAAGUCCCAUUAACUGGUUAAAACUUCCAACAGUACCACCAUAAUCAACCAGGAUCUCUUCCUUUCUGACAUAACCAACCAUUUUCUUCAUUGACAACAAUUC
rnacentral:misc_RNA from 1 species